AUGGAGAAGGUAGAAGGGCUGCUAAAGAACCUAAAGUUGUCGGAGGCGGAGAGGAAGGGAGUGCGGAUCGGAAGGGCGGCAGGGGGUAGAUCCAGGGAAGUGGAGACACAGGCGUUAGGGAAGGUGUUCUUGGAGAAGCCGGUGUAUGUGGAGGGGAUGAUCAAGUCUCUGAGUAGGGUUUGGUGUCCGCUAAAAGGGUUGAAGUGCAAGGAGAUGGAAGACAAUAUUUUUCUGUUCACCUUUUUGCAGGUGGCGGGGAAGAGAAAGGCAUUGGAAGAUGGCCCGUGGAUGGUGGGGAAGGAGUUGAUUGUCAUGGAGGAUUUUGAUCCAAUUAAAACUGUGGAGGACUAUGAAUUCAAGAUCAUACCGAUUUGGGUGAGGGUAACUAGGCUGCCUCUGGGUUAUCUGAAUCAAGAGAGUGGGGAAAUCCUAGAUGAGCAAAUUGGGGAAGUGAUGGAAGUGGACGUAGGGGAAGGAGGUGGGCAAUCUGGAAGUUUUAUCCGAGUUAAGGUCAAGCUAGACAUCACCCGACCACUAUUGAGAGCUAUUACAGUGGACAUCUCUGAAGAGAAGGAGGAUAUGGGGAAGAUGAACAUGGUCGUGAAACUGAGAAGCUGUUUAGUUUCCAGAUGUUCUUACAGCAACCAUGUACUCCCUCCGUUCCAAAAUAGUGUUGGGGAACGUUGCACAAAACAAAAAUUUUCCUACUCGUUUCACCAAGAUCAUCUAGGAGUUCAUCUAGCAACGAGUCAUUGGAUGCAUCUACAUACCUUUGUAGAUCGCGAGCGGAAGCGUUCAAAAGAACGGUGA
rnacentral:rRNA from 1 species